rnacentral:rRNA from 1 species
GCUUGUCUCAAAGAUUAAGCCAUGCAUGUCUAAGUGUAAAUAAGUCUAUACUGUGAAACUGCGAAUGGCUCAUUAAAUCAGUUAUCGUUUAUUUGAUGAUCUCUUACUACUUGGAUAACCGUAGUAAUUCUAGAGCUAAUACAUGCACAAAAUCCCGACUUACGAAGGGAUGUAUUUAUUAGAUACAAACCAACAUCGUGGUGAUUCAUAAUAACUUUGCGAAUCGUAUGCCUCACGGCGACGAUGAAUCAUUCAAAUUUCUGCCCUAUCAUGCUCUCGAUGGUAGUGUAUUGGACUACCAUGGCUCUCACGGGUAACGGGGAAUUAGGGUUCGAUUCCGGAGAAGGAGCCUGAGAAACGGCUACUACAUCUAAGGAAGGCAGCAGG